rnacentral:rRNA from 1 species
UACGAAGGAUGCAAGCGUUAUCCGGAUUCAUUGGGUUUAAAGGGAGCGUAGGCGGCUCAUGAAGGCUGUGGUGAAAGUCCGGGGCUCAACCUCGGAUCGGCCGUGGCGACUCGUGGGCUGGAGCACUGUAGAGGCGGGUGGAAUUCCGGGUGUAGCGGUGGAAUGCGUAGAGAUCCGGAAGAACACCAGUGGCGAAGGCGGCCCGCUGGGCAGUGGCUGACGCUGAGGCGCGACAGCGUGGGGAGCAAACAGG